rnacentral:rRNA from 1 species
GAUGAACGCUAGCGGCAGGCUUAAUACAUGCAAGUCGUGGGGCAGCAGGUCUGUAGCAAUACAGAUGCUGGCGACCGGCAAACGGGUGCGGAACACGUACACAACCUUCCUUUAAGUGGGGAAUAGCCCAGAGAAAUUUGGAUUAAUACCCCGUAACAUAUAGAGGUGGCAUCACUUUUAUAUUAUAGCUCCGGCGCUUAAAGAUGGGUGUGCGGCUGAUUAGAUAGUUGGCGGGGUAAUGGCCCACCAAGUCGACGAUCAGUAACUGGUGUGAGAGCACGACCAGUCACACGGGCACUGAGACACGGGCCCGACUCCUACGGGAGGCAGCAGUAAGGAAUAUUGGUCAAUGGACGCAAGUCUGAACCAGCCAUGCCGCGUGGAGGAUGAAGGUCCUCUGGAUUGUAAACUUCUUUUAUUUGGGAAGAAAUCUAUCUUUUCUUGGAUAGUUGACGGUACCAGAUGAAUAAGCACCGGCUAACUCCGUGCCAGCCGCCACAGUAAAAC